rnacentral:rRNA from 1 species
GGGUGCGAUCAUACCAACUUUAAUGCACCGUAUCCCGUCAGAACUCCGCAAUUAAGCGCGCUUGGGCUAGAGUAGUGUUGGGAUGGGUGACCUCCCGGGAAGUCCUCGUGUUGCACCCU